rnacentral:rRNA from 1 species
UACGUAGGUGGCAAGCGUUGUCCGGAUUUACUGGGCGUAAAGGAUGCGUAGGCGGACAUUUAAGUCAGAUGUGAAAUACCCGAGCUUAACUUGGGUGCUGCAUUUGAAACUGGGUGUCUAGAGUGCAGGAGAGGUAAGUGGAAUUCCUAGUGUAGCGGUGAAAUGCGUAGAGAUUAGGAAGAACACCAGUGGCGAAGGCGGCUCACUG